AGUGAACGCUGGCGGUAGGCCUAACACAUGCAAGUCGAACGGCAGCACAGUAAGAGCUUGCUCUUACGGGUGGCGAGUGGCGGACGGGUGAGGAAUACAUCGGAAUCUACUUUUUCGUGGGGGAUAACGUAGGGAAACUUACGCUAAUACCGCAUACGACCUACGGGUGAAAGCAGGGGAUCUUCGGACCUUGCGCGAUUGAAUGAGCCGAUGUCGGAUUAGCUAGUUGGCGGGGUAAAGGCCCACCAAGGCGACGAUCCGUAGCUGGUCUGAGAGGAUGAUCAGCCACACUGGAACUGAGACACGGUCCUGACUCCUACGGGAGGCAGCAGUGGGGAAUAUUGGACAAUGGGCGCAAGCCUGAUCCAGCCAUACCGCGUGGGUGAAGAAGGCCUUCGGGUUGUAAAGCCCUUUUGUUGGGAAAGAAAAGCAGCAGGUUAAUACCCCGCUGUCCUGACGGUACCCAAAGAAUAAGCACCGGCUAACUUCGUG
rnacentral:rRNA from 1 species